CAGCCUUUUCGCGAGACCUUGAAGCACUUCAUUCUAAUCGUUCCCCACUGCAACGACACAUCGUCUGGAGGAGAACAUACAUCCCUGACCGCUCUUCACAAAGACUAUGAGUGUAUAGCGGAUCGUUUGGAGUUGUUGGGUUUUAUGGAGGGGCUUUUUGCAAACCUAUACAGAGGAUCUUUUUUUGUAGAAAAAAAAAGUAACCUUGAACACUCCUGAAGUUUACUGAACCUGUUCAGGACGAAUUUUGGGCGUUGCUGGUUUCUGGGAGACUUGCAGAACGUUACAGGGUGUUACUAUUGAACAGGUCGUGUGCAAGCCCCCAAAACUCAUCCCCAGACAUCGUUCUUUUUGGAACUUUCUUCCAGAUGAUCCAACAACAUUACAAAUAUAUUUGAUCUUUGAUAAAAAUAAAUAAUAUUUCCCAAA